GUGAGAAAGAAAGCUAGGGAAGACAUGCCAAUUCCAAGCAAUCAUCGAUUUGCUCAUAGAUAAAUCAAACAUCGCCCGUGCCUAGAAGGCUAAAAUCCCGCUGGUGUUGCUGUCGAUGCUAGAAAUCAAUGCCUACCUAGAACGUCUCUCAUAAAUAAAAACAAAAGGUGAUUCUGAAUUUCUGAUUUCGUAGUUCACUGAUUUGGGUGUGAUUCGUUUCUUGUUGGUUAUUUAAGAAAUCAGAUUUAGGAAAAAAUAGUUAAAGUCGCAAAGAGUUCAUUCUAAGUUUUCUAUUUCAUAAGUCAUAUUUCUGUUUCAGUCUUUCAGAAAUCAAAUCAAAUUUCUCCUCUGUUUGUGUUUGUGUUUGUGCUCGAUGUUGUUGUUUCAGAAAUCAUCAAAUCAUAUUUGGAGGACUUGUUUCAAGGGCAUCUCACAAGUAAAAGAAAGUUGAAGGAGCUAUUUAGGGACACCCCAUCACAUGUAGUUUAAGGGGCAUUGUUUUCGAUCCUAGUUGCUUGUAUUUGUUGUCAAGGUUGCUUUGGUGUGAUCUAAUUCCAUGUAGGAUUGUUUUGUUUUAAAAACAACUUUGUUUGA